AGAGUUUGAUCCUGGCUCAGAACGAACGCUGGCGGCAGGCUUAACACAUGCAAGUCGAGCGCCUCGCAAGAGGAGCGGCAGACGGGUGAGUAACGCGUGGGAAUCUACCCAUCCCUACGGAACAACUCCGGGAAACUGGAGCUAAUACCGUAUACGCCCUUCGGGGGAAAGAUUUAUCGGGGAUGGAUGAGCCCGCGUUGGAUUAGCUAGUUGGUGGGGUAAAGGCCUACCAAGGCGACGAUCCAUAGCUGGUCUGAGAGGAUGAUCAGCCACAUUGGGACUGAGACACGGCCCAAACUCCUACGGGAGGCAGCAGUGGGGAAUAUUGGACAAUGGGCGCAAGCCUGAUCCAGCCAUGCCGCGUGAAUGAUGAAGGCCUUAGGGUUGUAAAGUUCUUUCACCGAUGAAGAUAAUGACGGUAGUCGGAGAAGAAGCCCCGGCUAACUUCGUGCCAGCAGCCGCGGUAAUACGAAGGGGGCUAGCGUUGUUCGGAAUUACUGGGCGUAAAGCGCACGUAGGCGGAUAUUUAAGUCAGGGGUGAAAUCCCAGAGCUCAACUCUGGAACUGCCUUUGAUACUGGGUAUCUUGAGUAUGGAAGAGGUAAGUGGAAUUGCGAGUGUAGAGGUGAAAUUCGUANAUAUUCGCAGGAACACCAGUGGCGAAGGCGGCUUACUGGUCCAUAACUGACGCUGANGUGCGAAA
rnacentral:rRNA from 1 species